rnacentral:lncRNA from 1 species
AUGCUCUCUCUUAUAGUGACCAUUGAAAGGCUGUUUGCUCACCAGGACAAAAAACUUCCUGCAGGAUCUUGUCAAAAAUACUUCCAGAAGAUUCUGUGGUUCCAUGCAUACUUCAAGCUGAUGAGGAGUGUAGCACAGAGAUGGGACACCCUUGGGGGAAGAAAAUUACCAUCAGUUCUCACCAUGGAAGACAUGAAUCAUCCUCAUCUGCUUUUCCUCUCACUGGGAGAAAUUAGGAAAGCAAUGAAUUAUUUCCCAGCAUUGCCUACUGCUGCUUUCCACCUGGUCAAAUUCAAGAAUUCCUUUCUACAAGACCACAGCAAAACAGAGGUUUCUUCCCACUACUAUAAAAGCAUGAAGCAAUUGACUAGGGAAUGCUUCUGUCCAGCUUUCUGCCAUUGUCAUGUCCUGUCUUCUGUUUCAAGUUGCUUUGGUACCUGCCUUUAA